UGUUACGACGCGUUGCAGUUGCACUGGAAUAUCAAUUUUAAUAAUAUUAAGUUGUUUCGCGUUGUUAAAGUGUUUCGCAAUAUGAUAAUACGAGUUAUUAAGUGAUCGCGGUGUUGUGUUUUACGCAAACAUAUAAAAUAUAUGUUAGGCUAGCCAGUUAAAUGCAAAAAUGCAAAUGGCGUUCCGCGUGGUGGUGAAAAUGUAUGCAAAAAUACAAAAUGUAAUAAAACAUUGUUAUUUCGCGUUGUUUAAGUGUUCGCAAUAUGUUAAUAUAAGUUAUUAAGUGAUCGUAGUGCUGUGUUUCACGCAAACACAUGGAAAAUAUGUUAAAAUUGCCAAUUAAAUGCAAAUAUGCAAAUGAUGCUCCGCGGGGGGAGUGAAAAUGCAUGCACAUAUGUAUGAAUGUAAGAAUGUAUAUAUGUAUGUACAUACAGCGUGGUGGCGUGGAAGUUCAGCAUCUUGUGAUAAUCGGAUGAAAUUUCUCGCCAGGAUUUCGGUCCUUUAAAGUGUUAUUAAAUCGGUAACUUUUUUUUUGUUUUUUAAGUGAUGUUGCAAUGUAAGAAAAAGUGUCUAAUAAUAUUUACACACAUACAUAAAUGGCCGAAGAAAUUAUUAACGCCAUAAGAAAUCUUAAGUAAUUUGAAAACGCAAGCUCAUUUAUCAUUAGACGGAGUCACACAGGACCAGGCCCGGCGACAGUUUCAGUGUCGUCUAAGCAGGGCGAGGACGAGGACGAGGACGGUGAGAAGGAUCAACGAGGAGCGGAUACAUGGGCGCGUCAAGAGCAAGCCCAACACUUUGCCGGGAACGAAAAGCGGGGAGACCACGACAACGACGACAAACUAAAUGGCACAUUAAGCAUGGCACAUAAAGCUAAAGCAUUUCUACGAAAAUCUGCGGUCAUAACUUUGCACUUCGAAAUGCCAGUGUUACCAUUCAAGUGGCAGUUAAAAUGGCUUCAGCCUCAAUUGCUGGCAUCCUGGUUGGCGUUUCGCCGGCUGCAUCCACCAUUUUACCAUUCCACCAAUUUACCGCCCUAGCAAUUCGCCAACAGGACCUGCAUCCAACAUUCUACGGCCAACAUUCUACAUAUAACAUUCAACAUCCAGCGACCCGCUGCAUUAGGAAAGUUGACGCUGUUGAUGCUGUGAGCGAUUUAUUGUUUUUGUGUAGAAAGCGUAAAAUGGAACAAAUUUCCUCAUAACCCCCUCCUUGAAGCCCGCUCACACACAAACACACACAUACAAUACAUACAGGCAUACACGCACACAUAGUCACACACUUACACGCACAGCAGUGAUGCCGGCGACCCAUUUCAAAAACAGGACAAAUCGAACUAAAAACAAGACAGAACGCUAUUGUCAAGUACUCGACUAUUGGAUACCCGUUAGUCAGAUUAUGUAGCGCCACGAAGAUUGAGUUUCAGAUUGAGAGCUACAUGUAGCGAAGUGUGUGAUGUAGUAAGCGAAAAUCGAAUGAUGCAUCAAUAUACAUUUAAUAUACUCUUCAACGAAUUAAGUAUACCCAUUUGCGCCACAACUAACGGGUAUAAUAAAACGGCAUUAAAAGGACAAUAAAGACAAGCGGAUUUGGGU
ensembl:ncRNA lncRNA:CR43960 long non-coding RNA:CR43960